rnacentral:rRNA from 1 species
GCAAUCCAGUGGCGGACGGCUGAGUAACGCGUAGGAAUUACCCGAGACUGGGGAAUAGCCCGCCGAAAGGCGGGGUAAUACCGCAUAGUCCUCACUUCGUGUGGGGUAAAGGGCGUAACUGCCCGGUCACGGAUGAGCCUGCGUCCUAUCAGGUAGUUGGUGGGGUAAUAGCCUACCAAGCCAAUGACGGGUAGCUGGCCUGAUGAGGGUGGUCAGCCAGAGGGGGACUGAGACACGGCCCCCACUCCUACGGGAGGCAGCAAUUAGGAAUAGUCGGCAAUGGGCGAAAGCCUGACCGCGCAACGCCGCGUGUAGGAAGACGCUCGAAAGAGUGUAAACUACUGUGGAGAGGGAAGAAAACCCGAGUAAUCGGGUCUGACGGUACCUCUCUAGAAAGGGGCCGCUAACUUCGUGCCAGAAGCGUCGGUAAUACGAGGGCCCCAAGCGUUAUCCGGUGUUACUGGGCGUAAAGAGUCGUGUAGGCGGUUGUGUAAGUUAUCUUUUAAAGCUCCCGGCUCAACUGGGAAAAAGGAGAUAAUACUGCAUAACUAGAGUUUUCUUAAGGGAGAAUGGAACUAAAGGAGGAGUAGUGAAGUGCGUUGAUACCUUUAGGAACACCAGUGGCGAAGGCGAUUCUCUGGAAGAAAACUGACGCUGAGACACGAAAGCUAGGGGAGCGAAGCAGAUUAGAGACCUGCGUAGUCCUAGCCGUAAACG